rnacentral:rRNA from 1 species
GAUGAACGCUAGCGGCAGGCUUAAUACAUGCAAGUCGUGGGGCAGCAUGAGUGUAGCAAUACAUUUGAUGGCGACCGGCAAACGGGUGCGGAACACGUACACAACCUUCCUAUAAGUGGGGAAUAGCCCAGAGCAAUUUGGAUUAAUACCCCGUAACAUAAUGAUUGGGCAUCACAUUAUUAUUAUAGCUUCGGCGCUUAUUGAUGGGUGUGCGGCUGAUUAGAUAGUUGGCGGGGUAACGGCCCACCAAGGCUACGAUCAGUAGCUGAUGUGAGAGCAUGAUCAGCCACACGGGCACUGAGACACGGGCCCGACUCCUACGGGAGGCAGCAGUAAGGAAUAUUGGUCAAUGGACGCAAGUCUGAACCAGCCAUGCCGCGUGAAGGAUUAAGGUCCUCUGGAUUGUAAACUUCUUUUAUCUGGGACGAAAAAAGGCGAUUCUUCGUCACUUGACGGUACCAGAUGAAUAAGCACCGGCUAACUCCGUGCCAGCAGCCGCCGUAAUAC